rnacentral:tRNA from 1 species
GAUAAAGAGAGGAGUCAAACCCCUGUUAAUAGGACUACAGCCUACCGCCUAACAAUCGGCCACUUUACC